GAUGAACGCUGGCGGCGUGCCUAACACAUGCAAGUCGAGCGGCAGCGAGGGGUGCUUGCACCCUGUCGGCGAGCGGCGGACGGCUGAGUAACGCGUGGGAACGUGCCCCAAAGUGAGGAAUAACUGCCCGAAAGGGUAGCUAAUACCGCAUAUUAUCUUCGGAUCAAAGGAUUUAUCCGCUUUGGGAGCGGCUCGCGUCGGAUUAGGUAGUUGGUGAGGUAAUGGCGCACCAAGCCGACGAUCCGUAGCUGGUCUGAGAGGAUGACCAGCCAGACUGGAACUGAGACACGGUCCAGACUCCUACGGGAGGCAGCAGUGAGGAAUCUUCCACAAUGGGCGAAAGCCUGAUGGAGCAAGGCCGCGUGCAGGACGAAGGCCUUCGGGUUGUAAACUGCUUUUAUAAGUGAGGAAUAUGACGGUAACUUAUGAAUAAGGAACGGCUAACUACGUG
rnacentral:rRNA from 1 species